rnacentral:rRNA from 1 species
GACGAACCGUGCGAACGUUAUUCGGAAUCACUGGGCGUAAAGGGCGCGUAGGCGGCGCGAGUAGUCAACGGUGAAAGCCCGGGGCUCAACCCCGGGUCGGCCGUCGAUACUCUCGUGCUUGAGCACUGUAGAGGCAGGUGGAAUUCCAGGUGUAGCGGUGAAAUGCGUAGAUAUCUGGAGGAAUACCGGUGGCGAAGGCGGCAUCCUGGACCGACAUUGACGCUGAACGGCGAAAGCUAGGGGAGCAAACGGG